AGUGAACGCUGGCGGUAGGCCUAACACAUGCAAGUCGAACGGCAGCACAGUAAGAGCUUGCUCUUACGGGUGGCGAGUGGCGGACGGGUGAGGAAUACAUCGGAAUCUACUUUUUCGUGGGGGAUAACGUAGGGAAACUUACGCUAAUACCGCAUACGACCUACGGGUGAAAGCAGGGGAUCUUCGGACCUUGCGCGAUUGAAUGAGCCGAUGUCGGACUAGCUAGUUGGCGGGGUAAAGGCCCACCAAGGCGACGAUCCGUAGCUGGUCUGAGAGGAUGAUCAGCCACACUGGAACUGAGACACGGUCCAGACUCCUACGGGAGGCAGCAGUGGGGAAUAUUGGACAAUGGGCGCAAGCCUGAUCCAGCCAUACCGCGUGGGUGAAGAAGGCCUUCGGGUUGUAAAGCCCUUUUGUUGGGAAAGAAAAGCAGCAGGUUAAUACCCCGCUGUUCUGACGGUACCCAAAGAAUAAGCACCGGCUAACUUCGU
rnacentral:rRNA from 1 species